rnacentral:rRNA from 1 species
ACUUCCAUACUACUCUGAACAUACUCAGUCUCAUCUGCUGUAGAUACCUAAGAAGAUUCAGAUCUAGUUAGUACUUGGAUGGAAGACCACCAGGAAACAGUGAGUGCAAAAAGCA